rnacentral:rRNA from 1 species
UGGGUUAAGUCCCGUAACGAGCGCAACCCCUAUCCUUAUUUGCCAGCACGUCAUGGUGGGAACUAUAAGGAGACUGCCGGUGAUAAACCGGAGGAAGGCGGGGACGACGUCAAGUCAUCAUGGCCCUUACGACCAGGGCUACACACGUGCUACAAUGGGAAGGACAAAGAGCCGCGAAGCCGCGAGGUGUAGCUAAUCUCAUAAACCUUUUCGUAGUCCGGAUUGGAGUCUGCAACUCGACUCCAUGAAGUCGGAAUCGCUAGUAAUCGUAGAUCAGAAUGCUACGGUGAAUACGUUCCCGGGUCUUGUACACACCGCCCGUCAUACCAUGGGAGUGGGUUGCACCAGAAGUGGCUAGUCUAACUUAGUGAGGACGGUCACCACGGUGUGAUUCAUGACUGGGGUAAAGUCGUAACAAGGUAGCCCUACCGGAAGGUGGGGCUGGAUCACCUCCUUA